CAAGGAAUAGUUUAAUAAAAAUAUUAAUUUUGGAGAUUAGAGAAAAAGGGUAACUUUUUCCUUGA
rnacentral:tRNA from 1 species